GGGGGCGACCUGGUUUCGACGUGAGCAUCGAAGCAGCGCAGGGCAUGCCGAGGACCAGAUCACCUCGUAAAUCCAUUCUGGAAACACUACAAACGCCAACGACGAGCGUUUUGCUCUAGCAGCCUAAUACCUGCUGGACGCUGCACUGGCUUGCUGAUGGGCCAGGCCCGAAGGUAAGUGAGGCGCAAGCCGAGCUUGCUCGAAGGUGCAGCGUCAUUCACAUCAGCCUCUCUUCCGGGCUUGGCCGCUUCGCCCGGGGGAUCCGUCGAAGCGGCUAGCCGAGCGUCAGCCUGCCGGUUGGCGGGCGCAAGGCGAAGGCACUAAAUGACCAGGCUAAGCAUGUAGUCCUGACUGUCUAGGGCUUACGGACGCGGGUUCGAUUCCCGCCGCCUCCACCA
rnacentral:tmRNA from 1 species